AUACGGAGGGUGCAAGCGUUAUUCGGAAUUAUUGGGCGUAAAGCGCGCGUAGGCGAUUUCGUAAGUCUGAUGUGAAAGCCCCCGACUCAAUCGGGGAAGUGCAUCGGAUACUGCGAGACUAGAGUAUAGGAGAGGAGAACGGAAUUCCUGGUGUAGAGGUGAAAUUCGUAGAUAUCAGGAGGAACAACGGAAGCGAAGGCGGUUCUCUGGACUAUAUCUGACACUGAGGUGCGAAAGCGUGGGGAGCGAACAGGAUUAGAAACCCCAGUAGUCC
rnacentral:rRNA from 1 species